ACCGAAUUGGUGUAGGGGUUAACAUUCGGGAUUCUCAUCUUCUAAGAUAGCUUUCCCGAGCCAGGAGUUCGAGUCUCCUAUUCGGUG